GAUGAACGCUGGCGGCGUGCCUAAUACAUGCAAGUCGAGCGAACGGACGAGAAGCUUGCUUCUCUGAUGUUAGCGGCGGACGGGUGAGCAACACGUGGAUAACCUACCUAUAAGACUGGGAUAACUUCGGGAAACCGGAGCUAAUACCGGAUAAUAUUUUGAACCGCAUGGUUCAAAAGUGAAAGACGGUCUUGCUGUCACUUAUAGAUGGAUCCGCGCUGCAUUAGCUAGUUGGUAAGGUAACGGCUUACCAAGGCAACGAUGCAUAGCCGACCUGAGAGGGUGAUCGGCCACACUAGAACUGAGACACGGUCCAGACUCCUACGGGAGGCCGCAGUAGGGAAUCUUCCGCAAUGGGCGAAAGCCUGACGGAGCAACGCCGCGUGAGUGAUGAAGGUCUUCGGAUCGUAAAACUCUGUUAUUAGGGAAGAACAUAUGUGUAAGUAACUGUGCACAUCUUGACGGUACCUAAUCAGAAAGCCACGGCUAACUACGUG
rnacentral:rRNA from 1 species